UAUGAUCCGCGAUUUUAGCAAACAAUAA
rnacentral:piRNA from 1 species